UAAAAUGUGUCAUGUGUACUUUUUCCCCUGGAGAGCUGGUUGUAAAACAUUUGCCAUCACACCCCUAUAGAGAGAGAUGAUAUGUGUAACAAAUUUUCAGAUGACAGAAUUAAAUGGAGUAGUUCAUAAAAAGUUUUUAAAAGCUUGAAUUCUGAACUGAAACUAAGAAAAUGAAAUUAAAUUGUCAUAAAGUCCUUUAUUAGCCAACUUUCUAAGUAUAAAGCAUUAGCUCAAUAAUGAUGCAUAUGAAAAAGAUACAGGGUGUUUAAGUGCAUUACAACCUCAAUAAUAGCUAAUAUUAGUGUGGUAUGGUAGCCAAGAAACUAAUGUAAUCCUUGACUGAAUGAAUGAAUGGAAAAGCAUUUUUAAGUAUUUACUAUAUUUUAAGCACUAUGCUAGGUGCUAGGGACACAAAUGGAAAAGUGGGGUUGCCCUUGUGCUUAAGGAACUCAUGUUCUAAAUCAGAAAGGGCACUAUAAGUAGAGAGGUAUAGGGUUCAAAAAUGGGAGGUGCUAGUUUGGACUUUGUCUUAGUCAGGCCUUAUCUGGACUGUGGAAUUUGGUUUGGAACACUACAGUUUAGGAAGGACAUUGAAAAACUGAAGCUUUUUAUUAGAAGAGAGCAACCAGGAUAGUGGAGGGUCUUGAAAUCAUGUGAAUGAGAAUAAUUUAAAGCUGAAGCAGUCCUCAUAUAAUUUUUAAAAAUGGAAAUGUUGAGUUUGGACAAGAGAAAGAAAUAAAAUUAAGACUUGAUUUAUUGUUUCACCAAUUUUCUGGACUUCAGAAAGUGGCAGAUAAAAUGUCAAUUGUGUUUCUUUUUCUCAAGGAAGCUGUUUGUUAUACACUUACCAGAACUGUAAGUCUUCAGAGGAAGACUGAAUGACCAAAUCUGGCAACAUUCAAAAGGAGAUUCUACAGCUAACAUUUCCAGAACUACAACUCACAAUAAUGGGGUCCUGGACUUGUUUACUUUGUUCUGAGUUACUAUCAUUAUCACAGGAUCAUAAGACUGUAGAUUUUGAGCUUCAGAGAACUAUUAAGGACCAUCUAUUCCAACCUCUUCAUUUUGCUGAUGAGAUUCAAGUGACUUGGCCAAGGUCCCUGCAAGUUAUAAAUAUUACAGUGGGAUUUGCACUCAUCUACCCACCAAAGAAUGUUUUCUUUGCCUCCAAAGUCAAAAUCAUGCUGGCAACAAAAAUGACAGUCAAGCAUGUAACAUUGACAGAAUGA
ensembl:lncRNA